rnacentral:tRNA from 1 species
GGCUUUAUAGUCAAAAAUGAUAUUAGAUUGCAAAUCUGAAGGAGUAAUAAUUUUACUAAGGCUU